GGCCUCUGUCUUGCUCUUGUUUCCUUAACUGACAUCUCUCCUCUCAGAACAGUGAUACUUCUAGAACAGGGAACUAACACUUUAAUGCAAAAACACUGCUAGAUCUAAAUGGAUAGCCCAAUAAUUAUACAAACACAAACAGUGCAGGAGAAGGAAAUACAUAACACUAGUCAAGUCACAACAUAAGUCUACUAGAUAUCUCCUAUAUAAUUAACAGCGGAUGGAGGAGAAGGAAAUACAUAACACUAGUCAAGUCACAAAAAUAAGAGAACUCUGAGACAAAUAACGCUCCAUCAUCCUGACAGCCCAAUCCAGUGGGGAUGGCAGAAUGUCCUUUGGGAGUAGCAGAGGGCCAUGCCAACAAGUUUGACCCCUCUGCCAGCAUAAGGAGCAUCUAUGCUGGUGGAGGGAACAAACAUAUUAGUGUCUAGCUGUCCCACAACCUCUGCAGAGGGCAAGCCUGGAAGCUAUGCUGGCAUCCUAAUGGACACAGGCUCUAGGGGUGGUUGGGCCAGGGUACUUUAGCCCUGGAACACCACCUUCAGAACCUGCAGACUUAUACCGCACAAAGGUCCAUUUCGGCUGUGGGGCAAUUUGGGUGGCAGGACGGUUUUUGAACUAUCCUACUUUCUGUGCCGCCUGAAGUCCCUUUGUAGGUGGUGUGGGGCUACCUUCGCCACACUGUCCCUAGUCGCCUAAACACUCCCUCCCCCCCAGCUGGAUUGCACAGUUUCUUUAUUUUCACAGAUUCAUUAGAUAGUGUAAUAUGUCAAAUCUGACAAACAGUUUCAUAUAUAAGCAAACUAGGGAUAUUUUAAAGGGUUGGUGAGCUAUAUUACUUGACCCAGACAUUAUCCAACAGAUGCCUGUAACAGCCAUCUGGUAUGGCAUAAUGGUUAAGAGUGCUGGACUGACCUGGGAAGAUCUGGUUCAAAUUCCCACUCUGUCAUGGAAGCUUACUGGGUGACGUUGUGCCUGUUACAAUAUGUCAGCCUAAUCUACUUCGCAAGGUUGCUGUUAUGGUGAUAAAGUAGAGGAGUGGAGAAUGAUGUGAAAAGCAGCUUUGGACUUGAAUCAGGGAGAAGAUUGUGAUAUAAAAUAAAAAAUGUCACACUAAA